CCUACGGGUGGCAGCAGUGGGGAAUCUUCCGCAAUGGGCGCAAGCCUGACGGAGCAAUGCCGCGUGAGUGAAGAAGGCCUUCGGGUUGUAAAACUCUGUCCUAAGGGAAGAAUGUUACCUAUGAGAAUAUUGUAGGUAAAUGACGGUACCUUAGGAGGAAGCCCCGGCUAACUACGUGCCAGCAGCCGCGGUAAUACGUAGGGGGCGAGCGUUGUCCGGAAUUACUGGGCGUAAAGCGCGCGUAGGCGGAUAAUUAAGUCAGAUGUGAAAACUCUGGGCUCAACCGAGAGCAUGCAUCUGAUAAUGGGUAACUUGGGUGUAGAAGAGGGGGGUGGAAUUCCUAGGGUAGCGGUGAAAUGCGUUGAUAUUAGGAGGGAACACAGUGGCGAAGGGGAAUUUUUGGUCUAUAACUGGCGGUGGGGCGCGAAAGCGUGGGGAGCAAACAGGAUUAGAUACCCGUGUAGUC
rnacentral:rRNA from 1 species